GUCAUCUAGUUCAUCUUUAUUACGAAAUGAAAAUGGUAUUGAUGCGGAGCCAGCUGAGGAGGCAGUUAUUCAAAAACCUCGGAGGAAGACAAAGAAAACCCAGCCAGCAGAAUUACAGUAUGCCAAUGAGCUAGGAGUAGAAGAUGAAGACAUAAUCACUGAUGAGCAAACUACUGUGGAACAGCAGUCUGUAUUCACUGCACCCACUGGCAUUAGCCAGCCUGUAGGCAAAGUAUUUGUGGAAAAAAGCCGGAGAUUCCAGGCUGCUGAUCGUUCAGAGCUGAUAAAGACCACAGAAAACAUAGAUGUGUCAAUGGACAUGAAGCCUUCCUGGACCACCAGAGAUGUGGCACUUACAGUGCACCGGGCUUUCAGGAUGAUUGGUCUCUUUUCUCAUGGAUUCUUGGCUGGCUGUGCUGUGUGGAAUAUUGUUGUGAUAUAUGUUCUAGCAGGAGAUCAGCUAUCCAACCUCUCAAACCUUCUGCAACAAUACAAGACCCUAGCGUAUCCAUUCCAGAGUCUUCUGUACUUGCUUUUGGCUCUGAGUACAAUUUCAGCUUUUGACAGGAUUGACGUUGCUAAAAUAUCAGUAGCAAUCCGAAAUUUUUUGGCCCUGGAUCCUACAGCUUUAGCAUCUUUCUUAAUUUCAUUUGUCUUUUUCUCAGUGUACUUUACUGCUCUUAUACUAUCUCUGAGUCAGCAAAUGACAAGUGACAGAAU
rnacentral:sRNA from 1 species